UUGUGGAGGAGGACGCCGAAGGUGGGGCUGAUGACUGGGGUGAAGUCGUACAAGGUAGCCGUACCGGAAGGUGCGGCUGGAUCACCUCCUAACAGGGAGACAAACACUGAUUAAUGAUGUCUGAAUAAUCUAUUUUCAGGCCUUAAUCCUGUCACCUUAGGUCGAUCGGUAUCUCAGUUUGAUAUCCAAAAUAAAUAAAUUAUUUUGGAAGUUUGAAUUCAGUUCCUAAACUUUGUCUAGUUCACACCCAGCAAUGGUACUCCUGGGCCAUUAGCUCAGGUGGUUAGAGCGCACCCCUGAUAAGGGUGAGGUCCCUGGUUCAAGUCCAGGAUGGCCCAUUCGGUGUUGGGGGUAUAGCUCAGUUGGUAGAGCGCCUGCUUUGCAAGCAGGAUGUCAGCGGUUCGAGUCCGCUUACCUCCACUGAUCCAUCUCCUUAUAACGAAGUUGAAGGAGCUUUUGCUCGAUGUGAUCUAGAUUCGUUCUGAUUGAAUGAACCUAGCUUCUUGUCAAUAAGACCAAGUAUUUUCUUUGUUUUACUUGAUAGGACGCUGGGCUCACUGCAAUGAAUAUUGCAGAGUUCCUCAGUAGAACCUUGACAACUGCAUAGUGAGUCUGGAAAAAAUAAAGCAUCUCAUGGAUGCAUUAUUUGAGAGAUAAUCAAAUUCUAAUUAAUUAGAAUUUGAUUAGAAAUUCAAUGAUAAUGCUAAUUCUUGAGCAAGAGCCGAGACUCUAUAAUUUCUUUCAUUGAACUAGAUUUAAUGAGAGUUAGAUAUUUAAUUUCUCACUUUAUUGGGUGAUUUAAUUAAAUAGAAAGUGUUUUAAUCGCUGAAAUUAUAGAGAUUAAUGGUCAAGCUACAA
rnacentral:misc_RNA from 1 species